rnacentral:rRNA from 1 species
CAGCUCAACAGCUAGCCCACCCAUUCAACUUCAACCACUACAACUAAAUAACCCCUAAAGCACUUAAUAACAUAAUUAAACCAUUUUUCCCCCUAAGUAUAGGUGAUAGAAAAGGAACCAGGCGCAAUAGAAAAAGUACCGCAAGGGAAUGCUGAAAGAGAAAUGAAACAACNCAGUCAAGCACAAAAAAGCAGAGUUUUACCCUCGUACCUUUUGCAUCAUGCAUUAGCUAGAGCCCUCCAAGCAAAAAGCAUUUUAGUUUGAUUACCCGAAACUAGGUGAGCUACUCCAAGACAGCCUAAUGAUAGGGCAAACCCGUCUCUGUGGCAAAAGAGUGGGAAGAGCUUCGAGUAGAGGUGACAGACCUACCGAGCCUAGUUAUAGCUGGUUACCUGAAAAUUGGAUAGAAGUUCAGCCUCUUGAAUUCUUCCCUCCAUCAGCAGUUAGCUCUAAAUCGAGACACAAAGAAAUCUAGAGAGUUAGUCAAAGGGGGUACAGCCCCUUUGAAAUAAGACACAACUUUAUUUAGGAGGAUAAGGAUCAAACCGAGACAAGG